GUCAGCACCCCGCUCUAAAGAGCAGGGGCCGAAGCGCCUCUCUCUUAGAUAGCUGACCAGCCUAAGUCUUUGGACUACGUUUUUAGAGUUAUGACACCUACAAAUGCUUGACCGUUUGUAGCCCUGUCGUUAGUUUUUAAACAUUCCUACGAGGGGUAAGAAAGUGCAGCUAGCCGAACAAGCUUUAAAAACAUUGGCGAGGAAAAAAUUAC
ncrna:Lyngbya sp. PCC 8106 HNH endonuclease-associated RNA and ORF (HEARO) RNA